AAAUUGAAGAGUUUGAUCAUGGCUCAGAUUGAACGCUGGCGGCAGGCCUAACACAUGCAAGUCGAGCGGAAACGAGUUAUCUGAACCUUCGGGGAACGAUAACGGCGUCGAGCGGCGGACGGGUGAGUAAUGCCUAGGAAAUUGCCCUGAUGUGGGGGAUAACCAUUGGAAACGAUGGCUAAUACCGCAUGAUGCCUACGGGCCAAAGAGGGGGACCUUCGGGCCUCUCGCGUCAGGAUAUGCCUAGGUGGGAUUAGCUAGUUGGUGAGGUAAGGGCUCACCAAGGCGACGAUCCCUAGCUGGUCUGAGAGGAUGAUCAGCCACACUGGAACUGAGACACGGUCCAGACUCCUACGGGAGGCAGCAGUGGGGAAUAUUGCACAAUGGGCGCAAGCCUGAUGCAGCCAUGCCGCGUGUGUGAAGAAGGCCUUCGGGUUGUAAAGCACUUUCAGUCGUGAGGAAGGUAGUGUAGUUAAUAGCUGCAUUAUUUGACGUUAGCGACAGAAGAAGCACCGGCUAACUCCGUGCCAGCAGCCGCGGUAAUACGGAGGGUGCGAGCGUUAAUCGGAAUUACUGGGCGUAAAGCGCAUGCAGGUGGUUUGUUAAGUCAGAUGUGAAAGCCCGGGGCUCAACCUCGGAAUUGCAUUUGAAACUGGCAGACUAGAGUACUGUAGAGGGGGGUAGAAUUUCAGGUGUAGCGGUGAAAUGCGUAGAGAUCUGAAGGAAUACCGGUGGCGAAGGCGGCCCCCUGGACAGAUACUGACACUCAGAUGCGAAAGCGUGGGGAGCAAACAGGAUUAGAUACCCUGGUAGUCCACGCCGUAAACGAUGUCUACUUGGAGGUUGUGGCCUUGAGCCGUGGCUUUCGGAGCUAACGCGUUAAGUAGACCGCCUGGGGAGUACGGUCGCAAGAUUAAAACUCAAAUGAAUUGA
rnacentral:rRNA from 1 species